CCAGGGGCAACUCUGGUUCAGUGGCGGACGGGUGCGUAACACGUGAGGAACAUGACCUUCGGCGGGGGAUAGCCGGCCCAACGGCCGGGUAAUACCGCGUACGACCACAUGGGGACAUCCCUGAGUGGUGAAAGCAGCAAUGCGCCGAUGGAGUGCCUCGCGGCCUAUCAGCUAGUUGGUGAGGUAACGGCUCACCAAGGCGACGACGGGUAGCUGGUCUGAGAGGAUGGCCAGCCACAUUGGGACUGAGACACGGCCCAGACUCCUACGGGAGGCAGCAGUGGGGAAUAUUGCACAAUGGACGAAAGCCUGAUGCAGCAACGCCGCGUGAGCGAUGAAGGCCUUCGGA
rnacentral:rRNA from 1 species